GAAACCUACCUCUUAGCAGGGGAUAACAUUUGGAAACAGAUGCUAAUACCGUAUAACAAUGACAACCGCAUGGUUGUUAUUUAAAAGAUGGUUCUGCUAUCACUAAGAGAUGGUCCCGCGGUGCAUUAGCUAGUUGGUAAGGUAAUGGCUUACCAAGGCGAUGAUGCAUAGCCGAGUUGAGAGACUGAUCGGCCACAAUGGGACUGAGACACGGCCCAUACUCCUACGGGAGGCAGCAGUAGGGAAUCUUCCACAAUGGGCGAAAGCCUGAUGGAGCAACGCCGCGUGUGUGAUGAAGGGUUUCGGCUCGUAAAACACUGUUGUAAGAGAAGAAUGACAUUGAGAGUAACUGUUCAAUGUGUGACGGUAUCUUACCAGAAAGGAACGGCUAAAUACGUGCCAGCAGCCGCGGUAAUACGUAUGUUCCCAAGCGUUAUCCGGAUUUAUUG
rnacentral:rRNA from 1 species